rnacentral:rRNA from 1 species
UACGUAGGGAGCAAGCGUUGUCCGGAAUCAUUGGGCGUAAAGCGCGCGUAGGUGGCCCUGUAAGUCCGUUGUGAAAGUCAAAGGCUCAACCUUUGAAAGCCGAUGGAUACUGCAGGGCUAGAGUACGGAAGAGGCGAGUGGAAUUCCUGGUGUAGCGGUGGAAUGCGUAGAUAUCAGGAGGAACACCGGUGGCGAAGGCGGGUCUCUGGGCAGUAACUGACGCUGAGGAGCGAAAGCGUGGGGAGCGAACAGG